UACGUAGGGUGCGAGCGUUAAUCGGAAUUACUGGGCGUAAAGCGUGCGCAGGCGGUUUUGUAAGCCCGAUGUGAAAUCCCCGGGCUUAACCUGGGAAUGGCAUUUGGGACUGCAAGGCUUGAGUGCGGCAGAGGAGACUGGAAUUCCUGGUGUAGCAGUGAAAUGCGUAGACAUCAGGAGGAACACCGAUGGCGAAGGCAGGUCUCUGGGCCGUUACUGACGCUGAGGAGCGAAAGCGUGGGGAGCGAACAGG
rnacentral:rRNA from 1 species